AACAGGAUUAGAUACCCUGGUAGUCCACGCCCUAAACGAUGAAUACUCGAUGUUGGCGAUAUACGGUCAGCGUCUAAGCGAAAGCGUUAAGUAUUCCACCUGGGGAGUACGCCCGCAAGGGUGAAACUCAAAGGAAUUGACGGGGGCCCGCACAAGCGGAGGAGCAUGUGGUUUAAUUCGAUGAUACGCGAGGAACCUUACCCGGGCUUGAAAGUUAGUGAAUGAUCCAGAGACGGAUCAGUCCUUCGGGACACGAAACUAGGUGCUGCAUGGCUGUCGUCAGCUCGUGCCGUGAGGUGUUGGGUUAAGUCCCGCAACGAGCGCAACCCCUGUGAAUAGUUGCCAGCAUGUAAUGGUGGGGACUCUAUUCAGACUGCCUAUGCAAAUAGAGAGGAAGGAGGGGACGACGUCAAGUCAUCAUGGCCCUUACGUCCGGGGCUACACACGUGCUACAAUGGAUGGUACAGCGGGCAGCUACCUGGUAACAGGAUGCCAAUCUCGUAAAGCCAUUCACAGUUCGGAUCGGGGUCUGCAACUCGACCCCGUGAAGUUGGAUUCGCUAGUAAUCGCGUAUCAGCAAUGACGCGGUGAAUACGUUCCCGGGCCUUGUACACACCGCCCGUCAAGCCAUGGAAGCUGGAAGUGCCUGAAGUGCGUAACCGCAAGGAGCGUCCUAGGGUAAAGUCGGUAACUGGGGCUAAGUCGUAACAAGGUAACC
rnacentral:rRNA from 1 species